GGUUAAGCGACUAAGCGUACACGGUGGAUGCCCUGGCAGUCAGAGGCGAUGAAGGGCGUGCUAAUCUGCGAUAAGCGCCGGUAAGGUGAUAUGAACCGUUAUAACCGGCGAUACCCGAAUGGGGAAACCCAGUGUGACUCGUCACACUAUCAUUAACUGAAUCCAUAGGUUAAUGAGGCGAACCGGGGGAACUGAAACAUCUAAGUACCCCGAGGAAAAGAAAUCAACCGAGAUUCCCCCAGUAGCGGCGAGCGAACGGGGAGGAGCCCAGAGCCUGAAUCAGCAUGUGUGUUAGUGGAAGCGUCUGGAAAGGCGCGCGAUACAGGGUGACAGCCCCGUACACAAAAGCGCAUGUGCUGUGAGCUCGAUGAGUAGGGCGGGACACGUGGUAUCCUGUCUGAAUAUGGGGGGACCAUCCUCCAAGGCUAAAUACUCCUGACUGACCGAUAGUGAACCAGUACCGUGAGGGAAAGGCGAAAAGAACCCCGGCGAGGGGAGUGAAAAAGAACCUGAAACCGUGUACGUACAAGCAGUGGGAGCACAGGUUUACCUGUGUGACUGCGUACCUUUUGUAUAAUGGGUCAGCGACUUAUAUUCUGUAGCAAGGUUAACCGUAUAGGGGAGCCGUAGGGAAACCGAGUCUUAACCGGGCGUUAAGUUGCAGGGUAUAGACCCGAAACCCGGUGAUCUAGCCAUGGGCAGGUUGAAGGUUGGGUAACACUAACUGGAGGACCGAACCGACUAAUGUUGAAAAAUUAGCGGAUGACCUGUGGCUGGGGGUGAAAGGCCAAUCAAACCGGGAGAUAGCUGGUUCUCCCCGAAAGCUAUUUAGGUAGCGCCUCGUGAAUUCAUCUCCGGGGGUAGAGCACUGUUUCGGCUAGGGGGCCAUCCCGGCUUACCAACCCGAUGCAAACUGCGAAUACCGGAGAAUGUUAUCACGGGAGACACACGGCGGGUGCUAACGUCCGUCGUGAAGAGGGAAACAACCCAGACCGCCAGCUAAGGUCCCAAAGUCAUGGUUAAGUGGGAAACGAUGUGGGAAGGCCCAGACAGCCAGGAUGUUGGCUUAGAAGCAGCCAUCAUUUAAAGAAAGCGUAAUAGCUCACUGGUCGAGUCGGCCUGCGCGGAAGAUGUAACGGGGCUAAACCAUGCACCGAAGCUGCGGCAGCGAACGUAUCACUUAAAGCGAUUCAGCGGGUUACGAUUGACGGAGCGAAGCGACGUCAAAGCGUAUACAAAGUCGAGUCGGUUUAAGGAUACGUUCGUUGGGUAGGGGAGCGUUCUGUAAGCCUGUGAAGGUGGCCUGUGAGGGUUGCUGGAGGUAUCAGAAGUGCGAAUGCUGACAUAAGUAACGAUAAAGCGGGUGAAAAGCCCGCUCGCCGGAAGACCAAGGGUUCCUGUCCAACGUUAAUCGGGGCAGGGUGAGUCGACCCCUAAGGCGAGGCCGAAAGGCGUAGUCGAUGGGAAACGGGUUAAUAUUCCCGUACUUGGUGUUACUGCGAAGGGGGGACGGAGAAGGCUAUGUUGGCCGGGCGACGGUUGUCCCGGUUUAAGCGUGUAGGUGUGUGUUCCAGGUAAAUCCGGUUCACUUUAACACUGAGGCGUGAUGACGAGGCACUACGGUGCUGAAGCAACAAAUGCCCUGCUUCCAGGAAAAGCCUCUAAGCAUCAGGUAACAUCAAAUCGUACCCCAAACCGACACAGGUGGUCAGGUAGAGAAUACCAAGGCGCUUGAGAGAACUCGGGUGAAGGAACUAGGCAAAAUGGUGCCGUAACUUCGGGAGAAGGCACGCUGAUAUGUAGGUGAAGUGAUUUACUCAUGGAGCUGAAAUCAGUCGAAGAUACCAGCUGGCUGCAACUGUUUAUUAAAAACACAGCACUGUGCAAACACGAAAGUGGACGUAUACGGUGUGACGCCUGCCCGGUGCCGGAAGGUUAAUUGAUGGGGUCAGCGCAAGCGAAGCUCCUGAUCGAAGCCCCGGUAAACGGCGGCCGUAACUAUAACGGUCCUAAGGUAGCGAAAUUCCUUGUCGGGUAAGUUCCGACCUGCACGAAUGGCGUAAUGAUGGCCAGGCUGUCUCCACCCGAGACUCAGUGAAAUUGAACUCGCUGUGAAGAUGCAGUGUACCCGCGGCAAGACGGAAAGACCCCGUGAACCUUUACUAUAGCUUGACACUGAACAUUGAGCCUUGAUGUGUAGGAUAGGUGGGAGGCUUUGAAGCGUGGACGCCAGUCUGCGUGGAGCCGACCUUGAAAUACCACCCUUUAAUGUUUGAUGUUCUAACGUGGACCCGUAAUCCGGGUUGCGGACAGUGUCUGGUGGGUAGUUUGACUGGGGCGGUCUCCUCCUAAAGAGUAACGGAGGAGCACGAAGGUUGGCUAAUCCUGGUCGGACAUCAGGAGGUUAGUGCAAUGGCAUAAGCCAGCUUGACUGCGAGCGUGACGGCGCGAGCAGGUGCGAAAGCAGGUCAUAGUGAUCCGGUGGUUCUGAAUGGAAGGGCCAUCGCUCAACGGAUAAAAGGUACUCCGGGGAUAACAGGCUGAUACCGCCCAAGAGUUCAUAUCGACGGCGGUGUUUGGCACCUCGAUGUCGGCUCAUCACAUCCUGGGGCUGAAGUAGGUCCCAAGGGUAUGGCUGUUCGCCAUUUAAAGUGGUACGCGAGCUGGGUUUAGAACGUCGUGAGACAGUUCGGUCCCUAUCUGCCGUGGGCGCUGGAGAACUGAGGGGGGCUGCUCCUAGUACGAGAGGACCGGAGUGGACGCAUCACUGGUGUUCGGGUUGUCAUGCCAAUGGCACUGCCCGGUAGCUAAAUGCGGAAAAGAUAAGUGCUGAAAGCAUCUAAGCACGAAACUUGCCCCGAGAUGAGUUCUCCCUGAGACUUAGAGUCUCCUGAAGGAACGUUGAAGACGACGACGUUGAUAGGCCGGGUGUGUAAGCACAGCGAUGCGUUGAGCUAACCGGUACUAAUGAACCGUGAGGCUUAACCUU
rnacentral:rRNA from 1 species